CCGCGAUGGUGAGCCCCCGACACAGACCCACAGACUCGAGCUUGUGUGCGGCGAAGGCCCCGCAAGGUCGGUUCUACGGGUGGGUGCCAGGACCCAGGAAUCCGGGCCCCCGGCCCCCUCCUCCCAAGGAACCCAAGAAUCAGCCCCUUGGCUCCUUCCUCAGCAGAGACCCAGGAGUUUCAGGCCCCUAGCCCCUUCCUCCUCAAAGGUGCAUUGAGUCCAGGCCAGUGGACCCUCCUCUUUCAGACUCAGAUGUCUGGGCAGCCCCCUCUUCCCUCAGGCCCUGAGAGUCCAAUCAGGCCUGCUUCCCUGGGGAAGGCGGAGCCUGGCUCCCUGGAUGUGGAGUCAGAGGGAACCUCACCUGUUCCGGAGCUCAGUCCCUUGGGCAAGCAGCUCCCUACCUACCUGUCAGAUUCUGGAAUCCGGGACUAGGGUGGAGGCAGGGACAGGAAGCCUUCAAACCUUUCUGGAUAUUUUCCCCCUCUCUCAUGUCUUCUUUUAGCCUCCCAUCACUUAUAAUGAUGAUGACUAUGGUUCCCGAGCACUGACACUGCCCCAGGCCUGGCCAGGUGCUGUCCGCUGGCUGGCGCUGGCUGGCGGCUGCAGAGAUGAAGAGAAGCUUGGCCAGAGUCAGGCCAGUGGGAGGAGCCAGGCCUGGUGGGCGGCGGCCAGGCACCCAGCGUCCCUGGCCCAGGGCUGAGCUGAGCUCGAGCACCUGCGGGUCACUGAUUCCUCCUUGGGGAAACUGAGACCCAGACGCGAGGGUCAGGACUGGUUCAAGGUCACCGGACACGGCGUUGAUGGAGACACGAACUCCCCGGGCCCAGAGGCCCGAUUUGGGGAAGGGGUUGGCGCUGGACUUCCCUCAGACGGAGCUCACAGUAUGAUGGAGGAGACAGCCCCAGACGCAGGCAGUUCCAAUCCAGGGCGAUCGGGGUGCCUCUCCACCCUGAAACAUGUAUGGUAUCUGUCGUGGAUUGAGUUAUGCGCCCCCUGCCCAAAUAUGUUGAAAUCCUAAUCCCCAGUAUCUGUGAAUGUGACCUUAUUUAGGGGUCUUUAUAGAUGCACUCAAAUUACAGUGAGGUCAUACCAGAAUAGGGGAGGCCUUAAAUCCAAUGGCUGGCAUCUUUAUAAAGAGAGAAAGAUUCAAAGAUACAAAAGAGACACAUAAGGAAGAAAGCCAUUUGAAGGUGGAAGCAGAGAUCUGGAUGAUGCAUCUGCAAGCCAAGGAAAGCCAAGGAUUGCCGGCCACCACCAGAAGUGGGAAGAGGUCAGGAAGGAGCUAUCAAAGGGAGCUGACACCUGGUAUCCAACUUCUGACCUCCACAACCAUGAAAGAAUAAACCGCUGUUGUUUAAGCCA